GUCCGCACAGUAAACGAUGGACACUCGCUGUUGGCGAUAAACGGUCAGCGGCCAAGCGAAAGCAUUAAGUGUCCCACCUGGGGAGUACGCCGGCAACGGUGAAACUCAAAGGAAUUGACGGGGGCCCGCACAAGCGGAGGAACAUGUGGUUUAAUUCGAUGAUACGCGAGGAACCUUACCCGGGCUUGAACUGCAGAAGACUUUUUCCGGAAACGGAUUUUUCCCUUCGGGGCUUCUGUGGAGGUGCUGCAUGGUUGUCGU
rnacentral:rRNA from 1 species